AUUGAACGCUGGCGGCAGGCCUAACACAUGCAAGUCGAGCGAGAAAGGUCUUCGGGCUGAGUACAGCGGCGGACGGGUGAGUAACGCGUAGGAAUCUACCUGGUAGUGGGGGACAACAUGGUGAAAACCAUGCUAAUACCGCAUACGCCCUAUGGGGGAAAGCGGGGGACCUUCGGGCCUCGCGCUAUCAGAUGAGCCUGCGUAGGAUUAGCUUGUUGGUGAGGUAAAGGCUCACCAAGGCGACGAUCCUUAGCUGGUCUGAGAGGAUGAUCAGCCACACUGGAACUGAGACACGGUCCAGACUCCUACGGGAGGCAGCAGUGGGGAAUAUUGCGCAAUGGGCGAAAGCCUGACGCAGCCAUGCCGCGUGUGUGAAGAAGGCC
rnacentral:rRNA from 1 species